rnacentral:ribozyme from 11 species
GAGAAGGAGAUGAGAAAAAAAAAAGCGAAAAGGGGGGAUCGGCAACAGAACCAAAUGCUUCACUUAGAUCCUCAUUCCUUCUUUCAUUCAUUCAUUCCUUCAUUUAUUCA